rnacentral:rRNA from 1 species
GAGUGGCGGACGGGUGAGUAACGCGUGGGUAACCUGCCUUGUACAGGGGGAUAACAGUUGGAAACGGCUGCUAAUACCGCAUAAGCGCACGGCAUCGCAUGAUGCAGUGUGAAAAACUCCGGUGGUAUAAGAUGGACCCGCGUUGGAUUAGCCAGUUGGUGAGGUAAUGGCCCACCAAGGCGACGAUCCAUAGCCGACCUGAGAGGGUGACCGGCCACAUUGGGACUGAGACACGGCCCAAACUCCUACGGGAGGCAGCAGUGGGGAAUCUUGCGCAAUGGGGGGAACCCUGACGCAGCGACGCCGCGUGCGGGACGGAGGCCUUCGGGUCGUAAACCGCUUUCAGCAGGGAAGAGUCAAGACUGUACCUGCAGAAGAAGCCCCGGCUAACUACGUGCCAGCAGCCGCGGUAAUACGUAGGGGGCGAGCGUUAUCCGGAUUCAUUGGGCGUAAAGCGCGCGUAGGCGGCCCGGCAGGCCGGGGGUCGAAGCGGGGGGCUCAACCCCCCGAAGCCCCCGGAACCUCCGCGGCUUGGGUCCGGGAGGGGAGGGUGGAACACCCGGUGUAGCGGUGGAAUGCGCAGAUAUCGGGUGGAACACCGGUGGCGAAGGCGGCCCUGUGGGCCGAGACCGACGCUGAGGCGCAGAAAGCUGGGGGGAGCGAACAGGAUUAGAAUACCCUGGUAGUCCCAGCCGUAAACGAUGGACGCUAGGUGUGGGGGGACGAUCCCCCCGUGCCGCAGCCAACGCAUUAAGCGUCCCGCCUGGGGAGUACGGCCGCAAGGCUAAAACUCAAAGGAAUUGACGGGGGCCCGCACAAGCAGCGGAGCAUGUGGCUUAAUUCGAAGCAACGCGAAGAACCUUACCAGGGCUUGACAUAUGGGUGAAGCGGGGGAGACCCCGUGGCCGAGAGGAGCCCAUACAGGUGGUGCAUGGCUGUCGUCAGCUCGUGUCGUGAGAUGUUGGGUUAAGUCCCGCAACGAGAGCAACCCCCGCCGCGUGUUGCCAUCGGGUGAUGCCGGGAACCCACGCGGGACCGCCGCCGUCAAGGCGGAGGAGGGCGGGGACGACGUCAAGUCAUCAUGCCCCUUAUGCCCUGGGCUGCACACGUGCUACAAUGGCCGGUACAGAGGGAUGCCACCCCGCGAGGGGGAGCGGAUCCCGGAAAGCCGGCCCCAGUUCGGAUUGGGGGCUGCAACCCGCCCCCAUGAAGUCGGAGUUGCUAGUAAUCGCGGAUCAGCAUGCCGCGGUGAAUGCGUUCCCGGGCCUUGCACACAACGCCCGUCA